UACAGAGGACGACUAAGCCGAGUCUGAUUAAACCGAUAAAGCUCUUGUUGAUUCAAAGUACAACAGAAUUUAAGAGCGCCUAACGAGCAAAGCAGCAGCAGAAAAAGCAACAGCAACAAAAAUCUGUACACGUGUCGCAUACACAAUGCGAAGAAUGCGGCAAGGGAUCGACGACAGCAGCCGCAGAGACAACGGCAGCAACAACAACAAAUGAAUUGCGUUAUAAUUUCAUUAAGGACGAAAACCUUUUCAGUCAACGGCAAAAACGUUGAAGGGCUAAGAAGAAAAGGACGAGCGCCUAAGUAGACUAAAGUAGAGUAAAAGUAAAGCAAAGCCGCAGGACCCAAGAGGCGACAAUAACAAAAGCGUUGCCAACUCACAGGCCCGGCCAAGCAAAAAUCAAGCGACUGGCAUUUUUAUGAAAUUAAUACAAAAGACGCAGACAACAGCAGCGUCAGUGGGUGUGGCACUGAGAACAGUUGCGGCAAAAAGGGGCGCCACAUCAGCAAUGACAGCAGCGACGUGGACACAAUGAUGAGCACUCGCACUCUGAUAAUAAUGGCGGCCCAGCAGCCGGCUAGCGGGAAGCGCUUUUAUUGCCUGACACUCGAGUAGGCAACGUGAUUCGUUGCCAAGUCGAGACGACAGACAAGCCGAGUAGCCGAGAAGCUGAGAUCAACUUUAUAUUACAACGACUGCGCUUAGAUGUCGCUAAUGAUAUUUGCGUGACGCGGAAGAGGAACUCUAAAAACGUCACCUUCAUUUACUAAUUUGACAUGCAAACGUGACCAAGUGUCGCACAACCUUUUAAAAAUAGGAAAGCCAAGACAAAAAAAAAUAACAAAAAACUCAUAAAGCUUAGACAAAGCCAAUAGACUAACUGUAUAACACAAUGUCACACCGAUUGCAAUUACAACUCCUAUUGCUGCUGCAGCUGCUGGUGUUG